rnacentral:rRNA from 1 species
AUUGAACGCUGGCGGCAGGCCUAACACAUGCAAGUCGAGCGGAUGAAGGGAGCUUUCUCCUGGAUUCAGCGGCGGACGGGUGAGUAAUGCCUAGGAAUCUGCCUGGUAGAGGGGGAUAACGUCCGGAAACGGGCGCUAAUACCGCAUACGUCAUGAGGGAGAAAGUGGGGGAUCUUCGGAUCUCACGCUAUCAGAUGAGCCUAGGUCGGAUUAGCUAGUUGGUGGGGUAAAGGCGUACCAAGGCGACGAUCCGUAACUGGUCUGAGAGGAUGAUCAGACACACUGGAACUGAGACACGGUCCAGACUCCUACGGGAGGCCGCAGUGGGGAAUAUUGCACAAUGGGCGAAAGCAUGAUACAGCCAUGCCGCGUGUGUGAUGAAGGUCUUCGGAUUGUAAAGCACUUUAAGUUGGGAAGAAGGGCAGUAAGUUAAUACCUUGCUGUUUUGACGUUACCAACAGAAAAAGCACCGGCUAACUUCGUG